GUAGGGCAUGGUGGCACAUGCCUGUAAUCCCAGUGGCUCAGGAGGCUGAGACAGGAGGAUCAUGAGUUUAAAGCCAGCCUCAGCAAAAUCUCCAGUUUUUUUGGGGGUGGGGUGGGGUGGGGCUUGUUACUAGGGAUUGAAUUUAGGGGCAGUCAACCACUGAGCCACAUCCCUCUUUUGUAUUUUAUUUAGAGACAGGGUCUCACUGAGUUGCUUAGUGCCUUGCCAUUGCUGAGGCUGGCUUUGAACCUGUGAUCUUCCUGUCUCGG
rnacentral:sRNA from 1 species